rnacentral:rRNA from 1 species
GUUAGCCCUAAACAUUGACUGUAACAUCCGCCUGGGAACUACGAACAUUAGUUUAAAACCCAAAGGACUUGGCGGUGCUUAAUAUCCACCUAGAGGAGCCUGUCCUAUAACCGAUAAUCCCCGUUAAACCUCACCUUCUCUCGUCAGCCUAUAUACCGCCGUCGCCAGCUUACCCUUUGAAGGACUAACAGUAAGCACAAUUGGUACAACCCAAUACGUCAGGUCGAGGUGUAGCCUAUGAGAAGGGAAGAGAUGGGCUACAUUCACUCGAAUAUUGAAAGAAGGAGGAUUUAGCAGUAAGCAGGAAAUAGAGUGUUCUGCUGAAGCCGGCUCUUAAGCGCGU